UACGAAGGGGGCUAGCGUUGCUCGGAAUUACUGGGCGUAAAGCGUGCGCAGGCGGUUCGUUAAGUUCGAUGUGAAAGCCCCGGGCUCAACCUGGGAACUGCAUUGGAAACUGGCGAGCUUGAAUGCGGCAGAGGGGGGUGGAAUUCCGCGUGUAGCAGUGGAAUGCGUAGAGAUGCGGAGGAACACCGAUGGCGAAGGCAGCCCCCUGGGCUAACACUGACGCUCAGGCACGAAAGCGUGGGGAGCAAACAGG
rnacentral:rRNA from 1 species